GUAGCAAUAUUGUCUCAGUGGCGAACGGGUGAGUAACGCGUUGGUGACCUGCCCCGAAGGGGGGGAUAACAGUCCGAAAGGAUUGCUAAUACCCCAUGUGGUCAAGAGGAUUAGAUGCCUUAUGACUAAACGGAGAAAUUCGCUUCGGGAGGGGCCUGCGUCCCAUCAGCUAGUUGGUAGGGUAAUAGCCUACCAAGGCGAUGACGGGUAGGGGACCUGAGAGGGUGGCCCCCCACAAUGGAACUGAAACACGGUCCAUACACCUACGGGUGGCAGCAGGAGGGAAUAUUGGUAAUCUGGGAAACCGGGAACCAGCAACGCCGCGUGCGCGAUGAAGGCCUUCGGGUUGUAAAGCGCUUUUUGAGAGGAUGAGGAAGGACAGUACUCUUAGAAUAAGCCUCGGCUAACUACGUGCCAGCAGCCGCGGUCAAACGUAGGAGGCGAGCGUUAUCCGGAUUUACUGGGCGUAAAGCGUGUGUAGGCGGUUUGAUAAGUUGGAUGUGAAAGCUCCUGGCUUAACUGGGAGAGGUCGUUCAAAACUAUCAGACUUGAGAGUGGUAGAGGGAGGUGGAAUUCCGCAUGUAGUGGUGAAAUGCGUAGAUAUGCGGAGGAACACCAGUGGCGAAAGCGGCCUCCUAGCCCAUUUCUGACGCUCAGACACGAAAGCUAAGGUAGCAAACGGGAUUAGAGACCCCGGUAGCCUUAGCUGUAAACGAUGUGAACUUAGUGUCGGUGGGGUUAAAUCCAUCGGUACUGAAGCUAACGCGAUAAGUUCACCGCCUGAGGACUACGGCCGCAAGGUUAAAACUCAAAGGAAUUGACGGGGCCCCGCACAAGCAGCGGAGCGGUGUGGUUUAAUUCGAUGU
rnacentral:rRNA from 1 species